AGUGAACGCUGGCGGUAGGCCUAACACAUGCAAGUCGAACGGCAGCACGGUAAGAGCUUGCUCUUACGGGUGGCGAGUGGCGGACGGGUGAGGAAUACAUCGGAAUCUACUUUUUCGUGGGGGAUAACGUAGGGAAACUUACGCUAAUACCGCAUACGACCUACGGGUGAAAGCAGGGGAUCUUCGGACCUUGCGCGAUUGAAUGAGCCGAUGUCGGAUUAGCUAGUUGGCGGGGUAAAGGCCCACCAAGGCGACGAUCCGUAGCUGGUCUGAGAGGAUGAUCCGCCACAAUGGAACUGAGACACGGUCCAGACUCCUACGGGAGGCAGCAGUAGGGAAUAUUGGACAAUGGGCGCAAGCCUGAUCCAGCCAUACCGCGUGGGUGAAGAAGGCCUUCGGGUUGUAAAGCCCUUUUGUUGGGAAAGAAAAGAAGCAGGUUAAUACCCAGCUGUUCUGACGGUACCCAAAGAAUAAGCACCGGCUAACUUCGUG
rnacentral:rRNA from 1 species